GUCGGAGUUGUCACGGUUCAGCCGCAGUCGGUGCCGGUCGUCACCGAGUUGCCGGGGCGCACGAAUGCGUUCCUGGUCGCGCAGGUCCGCGCGCGCGUGGACGGGAUCGUGUUGCGCCGGGAAUUCGUGGAAGGCAGCGACGUGAAGGCGGGGCAGCGGCUGUACAAGAUCGA
rfam:Burkholderia sp. TSV85 TSV85_61, whole genome shotgun sequence.